rnacentral:rRNA from 1 species
UGCACCCCAGUUCAGGCGGGGCUACCCGAU